GACGAACGCUGGCGGCGUGCCUAAUACAUGCAAGUAGAACGGAGUGGCGAACGGGUGAGUAAUGUACCGGAACGUGCCCAGUCGCGGGGGAUAACUACGCGAAAGCGUAGCUAAUACCGCAUACUAUUGGAGCGGCCGAUAUCGGAUUCGCUAGUUGGUGGGGUAACGGCUAACCAAGGGGACGAUCCGUAGCUGGUUUGAGAGGACGACCAGCCACACUGGGACUGAGACACGGCCCAGACUCCUACGGGAGGCAGCAGUGGGGAAUUUUGGACAAUGGGGGAAACCCUGAUCCAGCCAUCCCGCGUGUGCGAUGAAGUCCUUCGGGUUGUAAAGCACUUUUGGCAGGAAAGCGGUACCUGCAGAAUAAGCACCGGCUAACUACGUGCCAGCAGCCGCGGUAAUAC
rnacentral:rRNA from 1 species